CCUACGGGAGGCAGCAGUGGGGGAUAUUGGACAAUGGGGGGAACCCUGAUCCAGCGACGCCGCGUGAGUGAAGAAGUAUUUCGGUAUGUAAAGCUCUGUCAGCAGGGAAGAAAGCAAUGACGGUACCUGACCAAGAAGCCCCGGCUAACUACGUGCCAGCAGCCGCGGUAAUACGUAGGGGGCAAGCGUUAUCCGGAAUUACUGGGUGUAAAGGGAGCGUAGACGGCUGUGCAAGUCUGGAGUGAAAGGCGGGGGCCCAACCCCCGGACUGCUCGGGAAAGUGUAUGGCUGGAUGGCAGGAGAGGUAAGCGGAAUUCCGAGUGGCGCGGUGAAAGGAGUAGAUAUUAGGAGGAACACCAGUGGCGAAGGCGGCUUACUGGACUGUAACUAACGUUGAGGCUCGAAAGCGUGGGGAGCAAACAGGAUUAGAUACCCCAGUAGUC
rnacentral:rRNA from 1 species